UACGUAGGGGGCAAGCGUUGUCCGGAAUCAUUGGGCGUAAAGCGCGUGUAGGCGGCUUGGUAAGUCCGCUCUGAAAGCCCGGGGCUCAACCCCGGGAGGCGGGUGGAUACUGUCAAGCUCGAGUCCGGAAGAGGCGAGUGGAAUUCCUGGUGUAGCGGUGAAAUGCGUAGAUAUCUGGAGGAACACCGGUGGCGAAGGCGGCAUCCUGGACCGAAAUUGACGCUGAGGCGCGAAAGCCAGGGGAGCAAACGGG
rnacentral:rRNA from 1 species